GCCUGGGUGGCUCAGUGGUUGAGCGCCUGCCUUUGGCUCAGGGCGUGAUCCCGGAGACCCAGGAUUGAGUCCUGCAUCAGGCU
rnacentral:tRNA from 1 species